rnacentral:rRNA from 1 species
UACGAAGGGGGCUAGCGUUGUUCGGAAUCACUGGGCGUAAAGGGCGCGUAGGCGGCUUUGUAAGUUAGAAGUGAAAUGCCAGGGCUUAACCUUGGAACUGCUUUUAAAACUGCAUGGCUAGAGUAUGGGAGAGGAUGGUGGAAUUCCUAGUGUAGAGGUGAAAUUCGUAGAUAUUAGGAGGAACACCGGUGGCGAAGGCGGCCAUCUGGACCAUUACUGACGCUGAGGCGCGAAAGCGUGGGGAGCGAACAGG